UCCAUCCCCGCCGCCGCCGCCGCCGCCGCCGCCACAUCGGGUACCACCGUCGCAAACCCUACCCUAACCCUAGGCGGAGCUCACACUCGUUUCCAUCCAUGGAGAUCGCUUCGCCUUCUUCGGGGAGGGGAAACGGGGAAACUUACGAAGGGGAAACGUCGGGGGAAACGCCGCAGCGUGAGUAAAAUGGAGCGCACGGAGAGAGGAGGGUGACGAAGAGAGAU
rnacentral:lncRNA from 1 species